rnacentral:tRNA from 1 species
GUCCCAGUAGUUUAAACAACAAACACCGGUCUUGUAAACCAGAGAUAAACUUUUCGUUUCUAGGAUC